GGGCCCUCUGGGGUGCGUGGUCGUAUGGAAGUGUGGAACUACGUGACAGGGUCUGUUGUGAUUGGCUGAGACCCAUGACAUCAUCACUAGAGAGGCUGGCUGAGCGACCCUGACGAUCUGACGAGUCUAAGACUUGACAGGUGAGUUGGAGCUGGAGGUGUUGUGGCUAAAGUCUGCCGACCCUGGGCGACCUCCCGUGUUGCCAUGGUGACCAAACAUUGAGUCGGAGGCGUUGUGGCGAGAGUCUUCAUCAAAUAACAGACCUGAAAUGUUUCACCCACCAUCAUAAAUACACUCACAAUCUUGCUGACUUUGGAAUAAGGUAUUAUGUAUUAAUAACCUGGCUUACCUCUGGGCCUGCGGCUGGGACCUUGUCCCAGUCUGGAGCUGUUGGUUAGGCCUGCUGAAGAUGACUGGUGGCUCGGAGUGGAACUAAGAACUUUAAGGGACUGAACUGAGGCAGGAAAAGAGGUUACUUUGUCUUGUUGCAGAAUAAUUCUUUCAUAUUCUACUGAAAAGCAGAAAAUCCCUUUUUGUAAUAUGAUACAUCUGUGCUAGUAUGUUAGUGAGAUACACUUGUAUGUCUUCUUUUAAUUUAAUUUUAAAACCCAUUAAUUAACCAUUAGUAUUUAUCAAAGUCUAGCCUCCCUCUUUCUCUAUUGCUUCCUUUUACAAAGUACACAUUUCUUAAUUCUUUUCCCUUUCCUUCCCAGUGUCUCAGUUUACAUUUUAAAGCAAGAAAGAUAUCAAUUACACAGCCACUGUUAACACUGAAUAUGCAGAGACCUUAAAAUGUUUUCAAACUAAAUGAAAAGUGAAAUGAUUCCAGUUGCUGAUUUCACACUCAAUCCAAGCAGGUGGUUUACAAAGUAAACAUCGUACAGGCUUACAAUAAGUAUAUCAUCUCAAAAUAAAUGUGAAAAUGAUAAUACCUUAAAUCUCAAUUGGACUUCCAUCUUAAUAAACUUGCUUUUGAUUGAA